GGCUCAGAAUCAACGCGGGCGGCGCGCUUAACACAUGCAAGUCGAACGAGAAAGCAGGAGCAAUCCUGUGAGUACAGUGGCGUACGGGUGAGUAACACGUGGAUUAUCUGCCCUGGAGUGGGGAAUAACGCUGGGAAACCGGCGCUAAUACCGCAUAUUCCCGAGAGGGGAAAGCAGCAAUGCGCUCGAGGAGGAGUCCGCGGCUGAUUAGCUAGUUGGUAGGGUAACGGCCUACCAAGGCUAUGAUCGGUAGCCGGCCUGAGAGGGCACACGGCCACACUGGCACUGAAACACGGGCCAGACUCCUACGGGAGGCAGCAGUGGGGAAUCUUGCACAAUGGGGGCAACCCUGAUGCAGCGACGCCGCGUGAGCGAUGAAGCCCUUCGGGGUGUAAAGCUCUUUCGGCAGGGAAGAUAAUGACGGUACCUGCAGAAGCAGCUGCGGCUAACUACGUGCCAGCAGCCGCGGUAAUACGUAGGCAGCAAGCGUUGUUCGGAGUUACUGGGCGUAAAGGGUGUGUAGGCGGCCUUCUAAGUUUGGUGUGAAAUCUCCCGGCUCAACCGGGAGGGUGCGCCGAAGACUGGGGGGCUAGAGUGCGGGAUGGGAGAGUAGAAUUCCUGGUGUAGCGGUGAAAUGCGUAGAUAUCAGGAGGAAUACCUGUGGUGUAGACGGCUCUCUGGACCGCAACUGACGCUGAGACACGAAAGCGUGGGUAGCAAACAGGAUUAGAUACCCUGGUAGUCCACGCCCUAAACGAUGCAUAUUUGGUGUAGGUCAUUCAGUUGAUCUGUGCCGGAGCUAACGCGUUAAAUAUGCCGCCUGGGGAGUACAGUCGC
rnacentral:rRNA from 1 species